GAUGAACGCUAGCGGGAUGCCUAACACAUGCAAGCCGAGCGGUAGAGUUUCUUCGUUAUCUUGAGAGCGGCGCACGGGUGCGUAACACUUGUGCAACCUACCUUUAUCUUUGGGAUAGCCUUUCGAAAGGAAGACUAAUACCCCAUAAUAUAAUGAUUUUCAUCAAUUAUUAUUGAAAAUUCCGGUUGAUAUAGAUUGGCACGCGCAAGAUUAGAUAGUUGGUGAGGUAACGGCUCACCAAGUCAAUUAUCUUUAGGGGUCCUGAGAGGGAGAUCCCCCACACUGGGACUGAGCCACGAACCAGACGCCUACGAGAGGCAGGAGUGCGGAAGCUUGGGACAUGGGUGAGACCCUGCUCCAGCGAGCCAGCGUGAAGGAUGACGGUCUUAUAGAUUGUAGACUUCUUUUGUACAGGGAUAAACCUAUCCUAGUGAGGGUAGCUGAAGGUACUGAACGAAUAAGCAACGGCUAACUCCGUG
rnacentral:rRNA from 1 species